UACGUAGGGGGCAAGCGUUUGUCCGGAAUCAUUGGGCGUAAAGAGCGUGUAGGCGGCCAGAUAAGUCCGCUGUGAAAUCUCGAGGCUCAACUUCGAGCUGUCGGUGGAAACUAUCUGGCUAGAGUCCGGAAGAGGAGAAUGGAAUUCCUGGUGUAGCGGUGAAAUGCGCAGAUAUCAGGAAGAACACCCGUGGCGAAGGCGGUUCUCUGGGACGGUACUGACGCUGAGACGCGAAAGCGUGGGGAGCGAACAGG
rnacentral:rRNA from 1 species